rnacentral:pre_miRNA from 1 species
AGCUGCUGGACACUGCUCAAGAUUAGAAUGGUACACAACUCUUGUGCGUGUGACAGCGGCU